GAGGCCGUUACUCAGAGGGCAGAAUGUCUGCUUUGCAUGCAGAAUGGCACAGGGUUCAAUCCCUGAACGGCUUCU